UCCAUUUUGCUGUAGGUGAGUCCACAUGCCCACCCAGUUGUGUUCCAUUCUCUUGGUCUCAGUGUUGCUUUGGACAAACCCUAUCUCUUUCCCUAACCUCUAGUUUCUCCCUUAGGCCAAAAAUCUGCUGCCUUGAACCUGAGGAGUUUGUCUGCAGCCCAGACCAGUCACAGCUACAGGGAGAAGGAGAAGUGAAUGAAUCAGCAGUUUUCUUUGCAAAGCUGGGCUGAGAAUAAAAAGCAUCUGAAUAGCAGGAGCGAGGAAGAAAGGCAGAGAUUCUUUCCUAAGUUAGCCCAGCCGUUUCAUCUGGAAUGUCUAACUCACUGCAAUCAAUGGUUUGACUCUACCUGGCGCCUUCCACCCUGAAAGGCAAUUUUCCAGAUCAUACAAUACACAAGGAAGGAAAACACUUAAGAUAUCUUGAAUGAAUCCCUUUUGUCAAAUCGAUUAAACCUGGGAGAUGAAGCAGGGGGGUCUUCACACGAGUCCAGAACUCUCAUACGAUUCUGGUUUCUACUGACCCCAGUGGACACAGCGCUCAGGCUCCGCGGAUCACGUUCAUCGCAGCCGUUUGACACAAAAUCGAACCCUGAGGAAGCCGAGCAGCGCUUGACUCGCUCUGCCAGCGUCGGGCCUUCUCCUUUGAGUGCGAUGAUGCUAAAAUAAGAAUUUAUUUAAAUUCCAAAGACUUUAUUUGAAUCCUGACACAUUUAAAUUCUGAAGAAACAAGAUUCAAGGGUUAUUUGUAUUUUAUGUCAUAGAGUAAAAGCUUCAAACCCUACAAGAGGUCCUCAAUUAGAAGCUUUAACUGGUAGAUAAGUACUUCCUGGGAGGGGGGGGGGGAAUCACUAGUCAAGAUGCUGUGAUAUUUUCUCAAAGAUUUGUUUUGCCGCUCUUCCCCCUGCCAACUUACUUGGCACACAUUUCCUCCCAGGAAAUCUUUUUGCUACAAACA